rnacentral:tRNA from 1 species
GCCUGGGUGGCUCAGUUGGUUAAGCAAUCGACUUCGGCUCAGGUCAUGAUCUCAUGGUUCAUGGGUUCGAGUCCCAUGUCGGGCU